CCUACGGGGGGCAGCAGUGGGGAAUAUUGGGCAAUGGGCGCAAGCCUGACCCAGCAACGCCGCGUGAAGGAAGAAGGCUCUCGGGAUGUAAACUUCUUUUCUCAGGGACGAAGCAAGUGACGGUACUUGAGGAAUAAGCCACGGCUAACUACGUGCCAGCAGCCGCGGUAAUACGUAGGUGGCAAGCGUUAUCCGGAUUUACUGGGUGUACAGGGCGUGUAGGCGGGACGGCAAGUCAGAUGUGAAAACCACGGGCUCAACCUGUGGCCUGCAUUUGAAACUGUAGUUCUUGAGUACUGGAGAGGCAGACGGAAUUCCUGGUGUAGCGGUGAAAUGCGUAGAUAUUAGGAGGAACACCAGUGGCGAAGGCGGUCUGCUGGACAGCAACUGACGCUGAGGCGCGAAAGCGUGGGGAGCAAACAGGAUUAGAUACCCCAGUAGUC
rnacentral:rRNA from 1 species